rnacentral:ncRNA from 2 species
UACAUUUGUGCCGAUUUUGGUUUUGAUGUAAAAAUUGGUUUGCAUCAAAUUAAAAGGGAAUCUAGUUAAAAUCUAGAACUGUUCCCGCAACUGUAAGCUACUAAGCUUGUAACUAUUCUUUUACCACUGACAUUUUUUUGUUGGGAAGGUUUGUUACAAGACGCAAGUCAGGAAACCUGCCAUUAUCACGAGUUAAAA